AAGCCCCGGAGCCCUUUAGGGCUCAUCUUCAAACUUGCAAUUUAAUGUGUCACCACCACGGAACU
rnacentral:tRNA from 1 species